rnacentral:rRNA from 1 species
UACGUAGGGUGCGAGCGUUAAUCGGAAUUACUGGGCGUAAAGCGUGCGCAGGCGGUUAUGUAAGACAGAUGUGAAAUGCCCGGGCUUAACCUGGGAACUGCAUUUGUGACUGCAUGGCUAGAGUGUGUCAGAGGGGGUAGAAUUCCACGUGUAGCAGUGAAAUGCGUAGAUAUGUGGAGGAAUACCGAUGGCGAAGGCAGCCCCCUGGGAUAACACUGACGC